AUUGAACGCUGGCGGAAUGCUUUACACAUGCAAGUCGAGCGGCAGCGCGGGGCAACCUGGCGGCGAGCGGCGAACGGGUGAGUAAUGCAUCGGAACAUGUCCAUUCGUGGGGGAUAGCCCGGCGAAAGCCGGAUUAAUACCGCAUACGCCCGAGAGGGGAAAGUGGGGACCGCAAGGCCUCACGCGAUUGGGUUGGCCGAAUGCCCGAUUAGCUAGUUGGCGGGGUAAGAGCCCACCAAGGCGAUGAUCGGUAGCUGGUCUGAGAGGAUGAUCAGCCACACUGGGACUGAGACACGGCCCAGACUCCUACGGGAGGCAGCAGUGGGGAAUCUUGCGCAAUGCGCGAAAGCGUGACGCAGCAACGCCGCGUGGGGGAAGAAGGCCU
rnacentral:rRNA from 1 species